rnacentral:rRNA from 1 species
GCAAGAUUAAAACUCAAAGGAAUAGACGGGGACCCGCACAAGUGGUGGAGCAUGUGGUUUAAUUCGAAGAUACGCGAAGAACCUUACCUAGCCUUGACAUUGAUAGAAUCUUCCAGAGGUGGAGGAGUGCCUUUCGGGGAACUUGAAAACAGGUGCUGCACGGCUGUCGUCAGCUCGUGUCGUGAGAUGUUGGGUUAAGUCCCGCAACGAGCGCAACCCUCGUCAUUAGUUACUAACAGUUCGGCUGAGGACUCUAAUGAGACUGCCUUCGUAAGGAGGAGGAAGGUGAGGACGACGUCAAGUCAUCAUGGCCCUUACGGCUAGGGCGACACACGUGCUACAAUGGUUAGGACAAUGAGAAGCGAUACCGCGAGGUGGAGCAAAUCUAUAAACCUAAUCUCAGUUCGGAUUGUAGUCUGCAACUCGACUACAUGAAGCUGGAAUCACUAGUAAUCGUAGAUCAGCCAUGCUACGGUGAAUACGUUCCCGGGUCUUGUACUCACCGCCCGUCACACCAUGGGAGUUGAUUUCACCCGAAGCGGGGAAGCUAAACUGGCUACCCUCCACGGUGGAAUUAGCGACUGGGGUGAAGUCGUAACAAGGUA